ACACGCGUAUCCGAAAGACUCUCGGCAACGGAUAUCUCGGCUCCUGCAUCGAUGAAGAACGUAGCGAAAUGCGAUACUUGGUGUGAAUUGCAGAAUCCCGUGAACCAUCGAGUCUUUGAACGCAAGUUGCGCCCGAAGCCAUUAGGCUGAGGGCACGCC
rnacentral:rRNA from 1 species